rnacentral:rRNA from 1 species
GAAUAUUGGACAAUGGGCGCAAGCCUGAUCCAGCCAUGCCGCGUGUGUGAAGAAGGCCUUCGGGUUGUAAAGCUCUUUCGGCGGGGACGAUAAUGACGGUACCCGCAGAAGAAGCCCCGGCUAACUUCGUGCCAGCAGCCGCGGUAAUACGAAGGGGGCUAGCGUUGUUCGGAAUCACUGGGCGUAAAGGGCGCGUAGGCGGCUUUAUAAGUCGGGGGUGAAAGCCUGUGGCUCAACCACAGAAUUGCCUUCGAUACUGUAGAGCUUGAGACCGGAAGAGGUUAGUGGAACUGCGAGUGUAGAGGUGAAAUUCGUAGAUAUUCGCAAGAACACCAGUGGCGAAGGCGGCUGACUGGUCCGGUUCUGACGCUGAGGCGCGAAAGCGUGGGGAGCAAACAGG